CUGCCUGAGGCUAUCAUAUCCGACAGAGAUGUAGUUUUUACCAGCAAGGUUUGGCAAGAGAUCUUCAAAUUGCAAGGCGUGAAACUGAAGAUGAAUUCAUCACAUCAUCCGCAAACCGACGGACGGACUAAGCACAUCUAUCAAUAUCUUGAAACAUACUUGCGCUGCUUUGUGCACAACACCCCCGCCAACUGGAGCAGAUGGUUAGCUUUGGCCGAAUUCUGGUACAACUCGACAUACCACUCUACCCUCAACAGAACACCGUUCUCAGUGGUUUACGACCAAGAACCACGACACAUGUGACUGCUCCCUGACCAAGCAACACCGAUUCCUGAGCUGAAUGAAUGGCUAGAAGAACAUCAGCAAAUGCAGGACCUAUUAAGGCAACAUCUGGUUCGCGGCAAGCAGAUUAUGAAAAGUCAGGCAGAUAAGAUAAGAUCCCACCGGGAAUUUCAGGUUGGUAACCAGGUAUUCCUCAAAUUACAACCAUACAUUCAGACUUCAGUCGCCCGCGAGCCAACCAUAAAACUCAGUUUCAAGUUCUUUGGACCAUACCCGGUGAUCCGACGGGUGAACAAGGUGACGUAUGAGCUGAAGCUGCCUGAAGGGUCCUCAAUCUUCCUAGUCUUCCACGUGUCGCAACUUCGCAAGGCCUUGACACCUGGUGCGAGUGCAUCCUCAUUUCUUCCAUCGCUUUUUGAUACUGUAAAUGUUCGUAUGGAGAUCUUGGACAAACACUUGUGCCGCGGCUCGAACAAGAUGUGGGAGCAAGGACUGAUUCGCUCGCAAGACAACCACGCUACACAAGAUACCUGGGAGGACCUUGAAAAUCUCCGUCGUCGCUUUCUUACUGCUGCGACUUGGGGAUAA
rnacentral:rRNA from 1 species